rnacentral:lncRNA from 1 species
AUCUAUAAUUCUUGAUUCUAAACAUGUAUGUUACUAUUUUCUAUUCAAUACUUGAUAUUUGUUGGUCAAGGAGAUUUUUUUAUCACAGUUUAAACCCUUUUAUUUGAAUUUGUUUUUAUCAGUCUUAUUUAUCUGUUUUGAUUAUAAAAAAAAAAAAGUGAUUUCUAUAUAAGGCUGAGUAAUUUGAGAUUAGGUUAUUGCAUUUGUUGUUGCUAUUUUUCUAUUAACGAUUCAGUUUUUUAUUGCCUGGUAUAUAUUAUGUGCAAGAACUUUGUAAAUCAUGAACUUUGCUUGGUUUUGCAAUUGGUGGCUUAUGUGGUUGCUUAUGAUUUUUUGCUUUGCAUAAUUUUGACAAAUUCUUUGAUUUGUAGUUUGUGAAUACUCUGUUAUGUAUGAGUUAAAGAAAUUAGCAGAAUAGGUUUUAGCAGACUCACAAUAGUGUACACUUUUCGACUUUUGGUCAGUAACUGAAAUGUCACAUAAAACUAUAGGUGUUGCCGUUUUGUAGUAGUAUAGAAGUUUAUUCUUUUGGGGUUUUAAAGACUCCAAUUAGAAAGAAGUGAAUCUUUUAACUUAAAGUUAUGUUGAUUCCAUGGUUGCAUAAUCUCAACCUAGAAAAACCGUGAAGCCAUCUUAAAUAACAUAAAUUUAAUUUGAGUUUCUUUCAUCAUUUGUUUUUGUUUAGAGUUUACCUACAUAUAAUGCUUCUCCAAAACCCUACUGUUCUCUUUUGUCAUGAUAAUUAACUUGUGUUGGAGUUUCAAAUUAUACUUGUGUUUUUCUCCCUUAAUCCAUAUGUCAUCCAAUUCUUAAACUACCAAUAUGUCAUUGUUGCCGUUAAGACUUAAGACUAUGAACUCUAUUUUUCAUAAAUAUUCAUGUAGUUAUUUUCGUGAUUUGUUCAAUAAGUCCUCUCCUUUAUUAUAUUUUAAGGCUUAUGUUAUUUUUGGAAAAUUGUGUAAAACUAAGGCAUAUUGUAUUUUUGUUAAAUAUGAUGCCUGAUUUUGAUUAUGAAUUGGAAUAUGAUAUUAAGGAAUAGAUCUCAUACAUAAAAUUUUAAAUUAGAGAAAAAAUACCGUGAUGAUCCUUAUCUUUUAAUAUUUAAAUUGCAGCAUACUAAGUGAUAUUGAUGUCGAGGCACAACUAAGCUUACUGAUUUUUAAUUUUUGGUUAUGAGUUUCUCUUUUUUGUUGAUCAGUUAGUUUAUAAUAUUUUUUAAAUAUAUAUUUUGAUAAUUGUCUCCCACAAUUUGUUCCCCUUUGUGAUCGACAGAUUCUCUUCAUUCUCUAGUUGAAUUUUAAUCACCAAUCAAGAUUUAAUUUAGUUUCCUCGGUGAUUCCUUCCCAUUCUCCAGUUGAGGUUUGUCAAAUCGUGAUUUCUCUAGAUUCUUCUUAUCUAUCAUAUCCUUUCGAAUCUGAUUCAGAUUACUUACAGAGAAAAAGAAAGUACAUGAAAGAUCAGAAGAAAGAAUGUGAUUUCGAUCGAUUAUC